CCUAGUAACUGCGAGUGAAGCGGGAAAAGCUCAAAUUUAAAAUCUGGCGGUCUUUGGCCGUCCGAGUUGUAGUCUGGAGAAGCGUCUUCCGCGCUGGACCGUGUAUAAGUCUCUUGGAACAGAGCGUCAUAGAGGGUGAGAAUCCCGUCUUUGACACGGACUACCAGUGCUUUGUGAUGCGCUCUCAAAGAGUCGAGUUGUUUGGGAAUGCAGCUCAAAAUGGGUGGUGAAUUCCAUCUAAAGCUAAAUAUUGGCGAGAGACCGAUAGCGAACAAGUACCGUGAGGGAAAGAUGAAAAGCACUUUGGAAAGAGAGUUAAACAGUACGUGAAAUUGCUGAAAGGGAAACGCUUGAAGUCAGUCGCGUUGUCCGGGACUCAGCCUUGCUUCGGCUUGGUGCACUUUCCGGAUGACGGGCCAGCAUCGAUUUUGACCGCCGGAAAAGGGCUGGAGGAAUGUGGCACCUUCGGGUGUGUUAUAGCCUCCAGUCGCAUACGGCGGUUGGGAUCGAGGAACGCAGCACGCCUUAUGGCGGGGGGUUUACCCUACCUUCGUGCUUAGGAUGCUGGCAUAAUGGCUUUAAACGACCCGUCUUGAAACACGGACCAAGGAGUCUAACAUGCCUGCGAGUGUUUGGGUGGAAAACCCGAGCGCGUAAUGAAAGUGAAAGUUGAGACCUCUGUCGUGGAGGGCAUCGACGCCCGGACCUGACGUUCUCUGACGGAUCCGCGGUAGAGCAUGUAUGUUGGGACCCGAAAGAUGGUGAACUAUGCCUGAAUAGGGUGAAGCCAGAGGAAACUCUGGUGGAGGCUCGUAGCGAUUCUGACGUGCAAAUCGAUCGUCAAAUUUGGGUAUAGGGGCGAA
rnacentral:rRNA from 1 species